GUGUGUCAGACAGGUGUGAUGUAAACAGGUGUGUCAGACAGGUGUGAUAAUAAACAGGUGUGUCAGACAGGUGUGAUAAUAAACAGGUGUGUUAGACAGGUGUGAUAUAAACAGGUGUGAUGUAAACAGGUGUGUUAGACAGGUGUGAUGUAAACAGGUGUGUUAGACAGGUGUGAUGUAAACAGGUGUGAUAUAAACAGGUGUGUUAGACAGGUGUGAUGUAAACAGGUGUUACUGUAUAUAAACUGGUAUGUUAGACAGGUGUGAUGUAAACAGGUGUGUUAGACAGGUGUGAUGUAAACAGGUGUGUUAGACAGGUGUGAUGUAAACAGGUGUGAUAUAAACAGGUGUGUUAGACAGGUGUGAUGUAAACAGGUGUGAUAUAAACAGGUGUGUUAGACAGGUGUGAUGUAAACAGGUGUUACUGUAUAUAAACUGGUAUGUUAGACAGGUGUGAUGUAAACAGAUGUGUUAGACAGGUGUGAUAUAAACAGGUGUGAUGUAAACAGGUGUGUUAGACAGGUGUGAUGUAAACAGGUGUGUUAGACAGGUGUGAUGUAAACAGGUGUGUUAGACAGGUGUGAUAUAAACAGGUGUGUUAGACAGGUGUGUUAGACAGGUGUGAUAUAAACAGGUGUGUUAGACAGGUGUGAUAUAAACAGGUGUGAUGUAAACAGGUGUGAUAUAAACAGGUGUGUUAGACAGGUGUGAUGUAAACAGGUGUGAUAUAAACAGGUGUGUUAGACAGGUGUGAUGUAAACAGGUGUGUUAGACAGGUGUGAUUUAAACAGGUGUGUUAGACAGGUGUGAUGUAAACAGGUGUGAUUUAAACAGGUGUGUUAGACAGGUGUGAUAUAAACAGGUGUGUUAGACAGGUGUGAUGUAAACAGGUGUGUCAGACGGGUGUGAUAUAAACAGGUGUGUUAGACAGGUGUGAUGUAAACAGGUGUGUUAGACAGGUGUGAUAUAAACAGGUGUGUUAGACAGGUGUGAUGUAA